rnacentral:rRNA from 2 species
CUUUUAUGGGGUGACUGCGUACCUUUUGUAUAAUGGGUCAGCGACUUAUAUUCUGUAGCAAGGUUAACCGUAUAGGGGAGCCGGAGGGAAACCGAGUCUUAACCGGGCGUUAAGUUGCAGGGUAUAGACCCGAAACCCGGUGAUCUAGCCAUGGGCAGGUUGAAGGUUGGGUAACACUAACUGGAGGACCGAACCGACUAAUGUUGAAAAAUUAGCGGAUGACCUGUGGCUGGGGGUGAAAGGCCAAUCAAACCGGGAGAUAGCUGGUUCUCCCCGAAAGCUAUUUAGGUAGCGCCUCGUGAAUUCAUCUCCGGGGGUAGAGCACUGUUUCGGCUAGGGGGCCAUCCCGGCUUACCAACCCGAUGCAAACUGCGAAUACCGGAGAAUGUUAUCACGGGAGACACACGGCGGGUGCUAACGUCCGUCGUGAAGAGGGAAACAACCCAGACCGCCAGCUAAGGUCCCAAAGUCAUGGUUAAGUGGGAAACGAUGUGGGAAGGCCCAGACAGCCAGGAUGUUGGCUUAGAAGCAGCCAUCAUUUAAAGAAAGCGUAAUAGCUCACUGGUCGAGUCGGCCUGCGCGGAAGAUGUAACGGGGCUAAACCAU